rnacentral:lncRNA from 1 species
CAGAUUUGGGGUUUGGAAUGCAGUUGGGGAUGGGGUGGGGUUGGGAUUUUAGGGCCCCACAGGGCUCAACCUCCCCAGACAGCCCCAGAUGGGUGCUCAGCCCCUGGCAGCACCGCAGCCCCAGCACUGCUGCAGGACACACAGGAACAUGAGCACCGGGUUCUUGUCACUGCUGUGUCACACAGGGGGGUGUCAUCGUCACUGCGGCGGCUGUGGGAUCAGUCCCCAACUGAUCCCAAAUCCUCCGCGGCAGCUCUGGGUCUGUGAAGUACUCUGCAAUGGAUGGGGACACUGUGCUUUGUGGCGCUGUCCUCAGAUGGAUCCCUGCACUUCGGUGGCACUGCUCCCAGAUGGUCCCCCCCACCCCUCAGUGUCACUGUCCCCAGUGCCCUCUUGCACCCUCAUGCCACUGUCCCCUUUGUGGGUCCCCCACACCUUGAUGUCCUUGUCCCUAAAGGCUCCCCCACCCCCCCCGGCCUUGGUGACACUCCCCAAAUGCUCCCUCUGGUUUACGGUUGCUGCUGUCCCCCUAAAGGAAUUGGGUCCUGCUAUGCCACAGUGUCACCAUUUCUCUAAUGUGUCGUCCCCCCCCGCCCCCAUCCCCGCCAUUCCAGUGGGGUCCCCUUACGCCCUGGGGUAUCACUGUCCCCACAAUGACUGUGGGGUCCCCCGGUGUCCCCCCCCACCUGCAGCAAACUCCAGGACGUUGCGGGGCCGUCGCAGCAUCACCUCCCUGCAGCGGGGGGGAAGGAGGGUCACCCCAAAAGGCAGUGGGGGUUGGAAGGUGACCCUAAAUGGAGUUUGGGAGGCUGAGGUGAGGGGAUGGGGGUCCAGAAGGAUCGUGGGAUUUUGGGGACGAGGUUGGGGGGGGCGGUCCAUAGCAUUGCGGUGUGGGGGAACCACCCCGUGGGUCGGGGUUGGAAUGAGGAUGGGGUCGGGUUUGGGGGUCGCACCGCAGCAGCCCCCGCAGCAGCAUCGCCACCUCCGGCCGCUCCCGCAGGUACCGCUCAACGGAUGGGCGCAGGGACGGCUGCGGGAGACAGACGGACACACGGACGGACACACGGACACGCGUCACCGCGCCGUCCUCCCCAGGGUGUCGUCCGUCCCCGUUCCCCCCCCCUUCCCCUCCCCGUCUCCCCCGCACCGCCUCCGCCCGCACCCCCAGCGCCGGUCCCGGUGCCGCCAUCCAGGGCCGAAGUGCGGCGUCGCGGGGGGGGAAACGGAUAACGGCGUAACGGCCCCGGUGGGGUGCGACGGUGCGCGUGUAAACCACGUGACUGCGUGUCACUGCGAGCGUGCAACGGCGGGUGUGUGACGCUAUCCCCGUGUAAUGGGUGUGAGAUGGGGGGCCAUCGUGUGAGUGUGCAGCGGGGCGUGUGCCCCAUAGCCGCCAUGUGAGGGUCGUUACAGGGCUUUAGGGUGUGACUGAGUGUGUAACUGUGUGUGUAACGGGGUGUGUGUAAUGGGGUUUUUGUAAGUGUGUGUAACACUGUGUCACACUGUGUCACAGGCUGUGUCCGUGUGUCCACACCCCUACGUGUGUGUCUGUCCGUCUGUGUCCCAUCUCCAUGUACCCACGUGUCCGUGUGUCCCCACAUCCCCGUGUCCAUCUGUCCGUGUCCCCACGCAUCCAUGGCCGUGUCCUUCUGUCUGUCCCCAUGUCUGUGUCCCCGUGUCCGUGUUCCCAUCUGUUCCCACGUCAGUCUGUCCGUGGCCAUGUCCCCAUGUCCCUGUGUCUGUCUGUGCACCCGUGUCCCUAUAUCCCCACGUUCCUGUGUCCGUCUGUCCGUGUCCUCUUGUCCCCACGUCCAGGUUUCCAUCUGUUCCCGUCUGUCCAUGUCCCCAUGUCUGUCCAUGUCCCCAUGCGCGCAUAUCCACAUCCUCGUGACCCUGUGUCCGUCAGUCCGUGUCGCUGUGUCCCCAUGCCCACGUUUCCAUCUGUCUCCAUGUCCCCAUGUCUGUCUACCCAUGUUUCUGUGUCCCCGCGUCUGUCUGUGUCCCCAUGUCCGUGUUCCC